GAUCCUGGCUCAGGACGAACGCUGGCGGCGUGCCUAACACAUGCAAGUCGAGCGGGGUUAUAUAAGAAGCUUGCUUUGAAUAUAACCAAGUGGCGGACGGGUGAGUAACGCGUGAGGACCUGUCUCCGGCAGGGGGACAACAUUUGGAAACGGAUGCUAAUACCGCAUAAUCCGAGAGGUGAAAGGAGCAAUCCGGCAGGAGAGGGACUCGCGUUCUAUCAGCUAGUAGGCGGGGUAAAGGCCCACCUAGG
rnacentral:rRNA from 1 species